rnacentral:lncRNA from 1 species
GCGGUGAUAGCAUCUCAAUUUUAUGGACAAGGCUUUUGAAAUCCGUGAGUUCUAUAAAAAGUCCCUGACCAACCAAAAAAUUCCCUGACAUUUCCCUGACUUUUCCCUGACAUACAAAAUUCCCUGACAUUUCCCGGUUUUCCCGGUUUUCCAGACGGGAGAUCCGAAGAGCAC